GGCCCGCCACGUUUCUCUUUGUCUACAUGAAUGGUAUACGUCAGAUAGAGGUGCAACCGAGUCAAGUCAAAUUGAGUAGUUGGAAGCUUGAGCUCGAUCUGAUUCAAAAUACUAGAGCUCAAAAUUCGACUCGAGAUCGACCGAACCUUCGUAUCUCAAGAUCGAGCUCGACUUCAUUAUUUCAAUAGAUCUUGAUUUGGUUUCCUUCAGUUUCAAUAGUUCUC
rnacentral:lncRNA from 1 species